GGUCCCUAUCUGUUGUGGGCGCAGGAAGUUUGAGUGGGGCUGACCUUAGUACGAGAGGACCGGGUUGGACUAACCUCUGGUGAAUCUGUUAUGGCGCCAGCUGUAUUGCAGAGUAGCUACGUUGGGAAUAGAUAAGCGCUGAAAGCAUCUAAGUGCGAAACUAGCCACAAGAUGAGACUUCCAUUGAGGGUCGUAGCAGACUACUACGUUGAUAGGUUACAGGUAUAAAGGUGGUGACAUCAUAGCCGAGUAAUACUAAUCGCCCGAAGCUUUCUCAU
rnacentral:rRNA from 1 species